rnacentral:misc_RNA from 1 species
AAAAACUGAAUAUUUUCAAUCAUCUUGCAACCAGUUGUAUUGAUAGUUUUACCCGAGGAACUUAUUUCAUUUACGCGGGGAAAGCAUGGGAAACAACCUCUAUGUCUUCUAUUGAGCUUCUGGUAUAGGUGUCAAUGUCAUCAUUUCCUCAGUAUAUCGCAAAUGCUGUUGAUGUCCCUUUGUUGUUUUAACAAUUGUUUCCCACUUGGGAU